rnacentral:rRNA from 1 species
AUUGAACGCUGGCGGCAUGCCUUACACAUGCAAGUCGAACGGUAACAGGGAGCUUGCUCCGCUGACGAGUGGCGAACGGGUGAGUAAUGUAUCGGAACGUACCUUUUAGUGGGGGAUAACGUAGCGAAAGUUACGCUAACACCGCAUAUUCUCUGAGGAGGAAAGCAGGGGACCUUCGGGCCUUGCGCUAAUAGAGCGGCUGAUAUCAGAUUAGCUAGUUGGUGAGGUAAAGGCUCACCAAGGCGACGAUCUGUAGCGGGUCUGAGAGGAUGAUCCGCCACACUGGAACUGAGACACGGUCCAGACUCCUACGGGAGGCAGCAGUGGGGAAUUUUGGACAAUGGGGGCAACCCUGAUCCAGCCAUGCCGCGUGAGUGAAGAAGGCCUUCGGGUUGUAAAGCUCUUUCGGCCGGGAAAAAAUCGCAUGGGUUAAUACCCUGUGUGGAUGAUGGUACCGGAAUAAGAAGCACCGGCUAACUACGUGCCAGCAGCCGCAGUAACAC